AAAAGUAGCUUUAUUUUCUAAGUUCUGAUUUUUCUCAACCGAUCAAUCGAGCGAUUGAGUAAACCAAUCAAUAACUAACCUAUCACAACUACUGGAAACAGCUGUAAGCCAAAUUCACUACAAUAAAGAAAAAAUAUGUAAUAAUCAUCAU